CCUACGGGUGGCAGCAGUAGGGAAUUUUCGUCAAUGGGCGCAAGCCUGAACGAGCGAUGCCGCGUGAGUGAAGAAGGCCUUCGGGUCGUAAAGCUCUGUUGCGGGGGAAAAAAGGCAGCAUCAGGAAAUGGGUGCUGACUGAUGGUGCCCCGCCAGAAAGUCACGGCUAACUACGUGCCAGCAGCCGCGGUAAUACGUAGGUGGCGAGCGUUAUCCGGAAUGAUUGGGCGUAAAGGGUGCGCAGGCGGUCCUGCAAGUCUGGAGUGAAACGCAUGAGCUCAACUCAUGCAUGGCUUUGGAAACUGGAGGACUGGAGAGCAGGAGAGGGCGGUGGAACUCCAUGUGUAGCGGUGAAAUGCAUAGAUAUCGCGCAGAACCCCGAUUGCGAAGGCAGCGUGCCGUGCCGCCACUGACGCUGAGGCACGAAAGCGCGGGGAUCGAACAGGAUUAGAUACCCUAGUAGUC
rnacentral:rRNA from 1 species